AUACCUGCCUGUCACGCAGGGGGUCGCGGGUUCGAGUCCCGUCCGUUCCGCCA
rnacentral:tRNA from 4 species